rnacentral:rRNA from 1 species
CAGGUGGGUGAGGAGAGUAUCCUAAGGCCAGCGAGAGAACUGUUGUUAAGGAACUCGGCAAAAUGACCCCGUAACUUAGGGAUAAGGGGUGCCACCAUCAGGGGGCCGCAGAGAAUAGGCCCAAGCGACUGUUUACCAAAAACAUAGGUUUCUGCUAAGUCGCAAGACGAUGUAUAGGAGCUGACGCCUGCCCGGUGCUGGAAG